CGUUGUUAGUUCAUGUCUCUCUAGAAAGUGUCAAGCUGAAGAAAAAGAAGAAACACAAGAGAACAGAAAGGCCCAGGUUGGUAAUUCUUUUGACAUUUUUUUCUAGCACCAUUUGUUACAUAAGUGUGCCAUAUUCAGAUAUUCCAAUCCUGCAGAUGGUAGCAAAACUACAUGGAAUAUUGAGACCAUUUCUACUUCGGAGAAUGAAAUCUGAUGUCGAGCUAAUGCUCCCUCGGAAGAAAGAAAUCAUAAUAUAUUGGUUAUGAUUGAAGGAAGUUCACUUUGGGAAAUUGAUAGUCUUCGACACCAUUAUUGUCCUCCUGUUUCAAGGUUAGUUUUAUGCCUAGUAUCCCCGUACAAUCAAGUGUGUGAAGUGUUCAAGAGAGAGCUUGGCAUGACACCGGAUAAGUUGCUGGAUGAGCUGAAGAAGAAGAAUCCUAAUAAUGAAGUCCAUCUCAACAACAUAUAUUACAUCUCUUAAU